UUAGAUUUUAUUUAUUAAUUUUUUUUUUUAUUUUUGUUAAAAUUUUUAAAAAUAAUUAUAAAUUAAAAAGUUUUAGUAUUGUUUAAAGAAAAAAUAAAUUUAAUAAUAGUUUAAUAGUAUUGUAAAAGAAAAUUGAAAUAAUUUGAAAAAUUUUUAUAAAAUAAGAAAAUU
rnacentral:rRNA from 1 species